rnacentral:rRNA from 1 species
ACGCAAUAGAUACCCGGGUAGUCCACGCCGUAAACUAUGGAUGCUAGCUGUUAGAAGUAUCGACCCUUCUAGUAGCGAAAGCUAACGCGUUAAGCAUCCCGCCUGUGGAGUACGAGCGCAAGCUUAAAACAUAAAGGAAUUGACGGGGACCCGCACAAGCGGUGGAGCGUGUUGUUUAAUUCGACGAUAAGCGAAGAACCUUACCAGGGCUUGACAUCCUGCGAAUUUCUCCGAAAGGAGAAAGUGCUUUAUUGAGCGCAGUGACAGGUGUUGCAUGGCCGUCGUCAGCUCGUGUCGUGAGAUGUUUGGUUAAAGUCCAUCAACGAGCGCAACCCUUAUAGUCAGUUGAAUUUCUCUGGCUAGACUGCCCCGGCAACGGGGAGAAGAGGGGAUGAUGUCAGGUCAGUAUUACCCUUACGUCCUGGGCUACAAACACGCUACAAUGG